CUUGUACUCCCUCCGUCCGAAAAUACUUUUCGUUGAAAUGGAUGUAUCUAGAUGUAUUUUAGUUCUAGACACAUCCAUUUUGAUGACAAGUAAUUCCGGAUGGAGGGAGUACUUG
rfam:Triticum aestivum genome assembly, contig: Triticum_aestivum_CS42_TGACv1_scaffold_096582_2AL